rnacentral:snRNA from 1 species
AACCUAGUACGAGAGGAACC